UGGUUCUGGCAUCGAUGAAGAACGCAGCGAAAUGCGAUAAGUAAUGUGAAUUGCAGAAUUCAGUGAAUCAUCGAAUCUUUGAACGCACAUUGCGCCCUUUGGCAUUCCGAGGGGCAUGCCCGUUCGAGCGUCAUUAAAUCCAAUCAAGCCUGGCUUGGUCUUGGGCGUCGGGGGGUCCCGCGCCUCAAUUUCACCGGCUGACCGCGUCUGUCUUUUAGCGUUGUGACACCAUUUUCGUUAAGAGCAGGGUCGGACCACGCCGCUAAAGUCUACAAAUUUCGAUCGAAAUUUGAUUAGGUUGACCUCGGAUCGGGUAGGGAUACCCGCUGA
rnacentral:misc_RNA from 1 species